UACGGCCCUAUCAUAUUGAAACACCUGUUCUCAUCAGAUCACUGAAAUUAAGCAACGUUGGGCCUGGUCAGUACCUAGAUGAGUGAUCACUUGGGAAUAUCAGGU